UACGUAGGGUGCAAGCGUUGUCCGGAAUUAUUGGGCGUAAAGAGCUCGUAGGCGGUUUGUUGCGUCGGCUGUGAAAUCCCGAGGCUCAACCUCGGGUCUGCAGUCGAUACGAGCAAACUAGAGUGUUGCAGGGGAGACUGGAAUUCCUGGUGUAGCGGUGAAAUGCGCAGAUAUCAGGAGGAACACCGGUGGCGAAGGCGGCGUUCUGGACUGACAACUGACACUGAGGAACGAAAGCCAGGGGAGCAAACGGG
rnacentral:rRNA from 1 species